AAAGAACUGUCAAAUACUGAUAGCAUAGGUUAGAUUGAUAGCAAAUUUGAUAGUAAAUGUUACAAGUUGGUGAAUCAUUUGAUGAAUUAUUGUCGACAACAAGUGGGACUGUUAUUUCUACUGAAAUGGUGUUGGGUUUGUAAAGUAUUUUAUAAUUCAAAUUCAGUUUCUCGGGAGAAUGUCAGUUUAUUAAAGUAAUUCAAACUAAUAAUGGAGUAUACUAGUAAUGUAACCAGUCCUCUCAAUGUGAAAGAAAGACUAAGCAGAAAAUGUUGAACAUUAUAUGCCUUUUUCUAUUAGAAACUGAGGCAACAACAAUUUGAUGCCAAACAUUAAAGGAAAAAUCUAUGACAAUGAGUUGGUAACUUUAUUCAGACACCAGGAGGUGACAACAUAGACGAUAAAGCUUUGGACAUCAUGUGCGGUUGGGCUUUGAUUGUAGCAGCCCUCAUUUCACUCUAGAAUGAGGUCCCUGAUUUUUUUGUUCAAAGAACAGAAAUACAAUAAAAGAACAUUGCAGAAGCUCUGGACAUCAUGUGCCUUUGGGAUUUGAUUGUAGCAGCCCUCUUUUCACUUUAGAAUGAGGUCCAUGAUUUUUUUCAUUGUAAUUAAUUAAGGUGAGAAUACAUAACAUAAUU
rnacentral:lncRNA from 1 species